GCGCCCAUCGUCUAGCGGUUAGGACGCCGCCCUUUCACGGCGGAAACAGGGGUUCGAUUCCCCUUGGGCGUACCA
rnacentral:tRNA from 240 species